rnacentral:lncRNA from 1 species
GAAGAAUCUCAACAUACAGUCCUCAGCAGCUUUAGCAUGGGCAACAAAUUAAGUCUCUGUAAAAGGCCCAAAGGACAGGGUUUGGUGAGAUUCUGGAGAGCUGGAAACAUGGAGGUUGACAGGAAUGUAAAGAAGAACUCAUUUACAUGCCAGGAGGGUGGAACACCCCAAUUCCAUGAGGAUAACUGCUCCUGUACUCCAGACCUCACCCCAUGUGUCUCUUCAUCUGGCUGGUUAUUUGUCCUUUAAGAUCUCCUUACUCAACCAGUAAAUGUGUCUUUACAUUGUUUUAGUCUUGAACUAGAAGAUGAAAGCAUCAAAUAAAGAAAUAUACUGUGGGUAUAUGGAUUACAAAAAAAGUGCUGGAUGUUCCAUGCCCUCAAACAUUGGACUCCAAGCUCUUCAGCUUUGGGACUUCAACUGGCUUCCUUGCUCCUCGGCUUACAGAUGGCCUAUUGUGGGACCCUGUGAUCGUGUACUCUUAUAAGGAAUAGAGGAGAAGAGAAAAGAAGAGAAGACAAGAGAAGAGAAAGAGAAGAUUGCAAGAAGGGAAGACAAGAGAAGAGAAAGAGAAAGAGAAGAAGACAAGAGAAGAGAAAGAGAAAGAGAAGAUGCGAAAUAGACGCAUGCAUUUAUUGAAUUUUAAUUUAUGACAGAAGUAGCAUAGUCAAUAACUGAGGAGUGGAAGGACAAUAUAAUCAGAUAAAUUGAAAAAUGCUUAUUGACAUGGAAAUAUCAAAGGAAAAAUAUACCAUGUGCCCACUGAUAAAAAAUAAAUGGAAUAUUCAUGAAAGGUCCCAAUUACUGUUACAAUAAUUUUUUAAAUAAUUAGGCAUUUGGAUUUUAUGUGCUUUUUGAUUUGAGUAGUUUAAAGUGUUUUAAAUAACAUUAAAUAUUAUUAUAAUUAUAAUAAUUAUUAUUUUUGAGACCGAGUCAUCUUGCUCUAUUGCCCAGGCUCUAGUUCAGUGGUGCGAUCUCAACUCACUGCAACCUCCGCCUCCUAGGUUCAAGUGAAUCUCAUGCCUCAGCCUCCUGAGUAACUGGGACUACAGGCAUGUUCCACUACACCUGGAUAAUUUUUGUGUUUUUGUAGUAGAGACUGGGUUUCUCCAUGUUGGCCAGGCUGGUCUUGAACUCCUGACCUCAAGUGAUAUGCUUGCAUUGACCUCCCAAAGUGCUGAGAUUCCAGGUGUGAGCCACUGCACCCGGUCCAUUAAAUAUUAUUUUAAUUAUAUUAGGUCAAAUAUUUUUGUUUCUUUCCUGAAUUUUAACACUAUUUAGAAUGAGUACAUAGUUGUUAGCUAAUAAAAUCUGUAGUUCAAAAAUUAUUUUGUGACUUACUGAGCAUUUCACUUGAUCAAUUUUUAUAAAUGUUUCAUGAUCUCUUAAAAAGAAAUGUAAGUAGCAUGUUAUAGUAGUAUCUUCCGUCAUCAUAAUAGUAUGUUCUAUAUGUAUCAUGUGUCAUACUUCUGUCAUUUUUGUUUUAUUAGUGCUUUGCUUAUUUCACAGAUUCUGCUUUUGUUUAUUUGUUUCUUAAUAAACUUUCUAAAUCUGCUAGUUUGGGAGGUUUCGACUUUCAUAUUGGUGCACAUUUAACUUUAUAUAAUAUGCUUGAUCAUCUAUUUACUGAUGCAUAGACUUCAGAGAGUGUCUUCUCUUAACUAUCCACUUUGAUCGAUGAAAAAAUAACGACCACUCCUGAUUUUAGUAGUUUUGUUGGUUUUCAUAUAUAUGAAAUGCUACUGUAUGAAUAAAAAUCAAAUGUAGAUCUAUUUUUCUAUUGUUUCUUCCCCAGUGAUACUUUUCAGAUAAGAAUAUGGGCAAAUAAUGAUUGCAGAUUCCAUCUUUGGUUUUAUUCUUUUUGCUAAACAUUUUAUUCUGAGGUAUAGCUGGUCAAUUCGAUAGCUCAUGAUCUUAAAAAUGUCUUUGUAUUCUAUUUCUUUUUUUUUUUAAAUUCAAUUAUUUAGCCUCAUUGACUACAUCAUUCCUCCAGGCAGAAGGUGCAAAAGACAGCAAAACUUGAGGACUUUCACCAAGGAUGUGCUAGGAGGGGACGUGGGAAAUGGAUUAUUCCUUGAACAUUUUCCCUGGGCCAUUCUCUUCCUUUUUUAUUUUUGUUCUGGUUACAUGGGGCUUUCAAGACUCAAGCAAUUGUUUGUUUUUUUUUUUUUACUUUAAUUUUUUUAGUAUUUCAAAUGUUUUUAUUAUGAAAAAUUUAAAUAUGUAUAAAAUAUGAGAAAUUAUAUAAUUCAUCCCCAGAUAUACGUCACCCAGCUUCUAUAAUUAUUAAUUCUGUCCAAUUAUUUUAUCUAUACUACCAUGCUGUUUCUCUUCCUUUCUCCUGGAUUAGUUUGGAGAAAACACC